UUAAUGUGCAACUAGAAUCGUUCCACCAUAUCCUUGCCAAGUGUCAAGUGCUUGCUUUCUGCAAACUGUCUGUUGGAGACUCUCCUCCCACACGGUCUGCAGCCAAAUGGGGAUGACACUGGGCUGGGUGCUCUGAGCCAGUUCUGGUAUCUGCGCUGUACCUGUUUCCCUAUCAGAAAGGUGCUGCUGCCUUAGGACUCCAUCCUGCUUCUUCCAAGGCCACUAAGAUCAUGUAGUGAUUUCAAUGCACCCACUGUUUCUCUGGCCAUGCACUCUAAUCAACUGCUAAGAUAAAAAACAUUUCUCCAUUCCUCUAGUCUGAGGAAAGUAACAGUUUAUGCCUCCUUUGCUCUCUCCUGAUUUCAUCUUGGUGCAUGGAGUUUGCAAGGGGACACUCAGCUUGUCUUUGAUGUCUGGUUCAGGCACUUUCUCAAUGGGAAUUGUUUGGUCUUUUUCUUUUAAGGAAUUUCAAAAGCUUGACAAAAAUUAUCUGAGAGGAAAAUGUGUGUUCCCAGAUUGGAAGCAGCGAAAAAAAGGCACAGCAUCACCACAUCAUUUUAGCAUCCAUUGGUGCCGUUGAAGGGCAAGAGAAUGAACUUUGAUGAGAAAGAAGUAGUUAUCCUGGUUAAUAACUGACUUGGAGCACUAGAACCCUUUGCUGCUGAGAAGUGGUCCCAGUUCCAGGGCUGGGUAUUUGAAAUCCUGAGCUGGACUCUGACAUCUUGGUCAUCCACCCUCCAUGGCCAUGCCUGUCUCCCAGGGCUGUCCGUCAGGGCUCCCUGAAGUCCUCUUCUCCAGGAACACAGACCCAUACCUGCUCCCUAUCACUGACAUGACAUGGUGUCUGGGACCCUCACUGCCUCUGUCACUCAUCUAGGAAGCGGCUGAUUGAAGCCUCUCCUCAGGAGUGUCUCCUGGAAGAGAGAAUAUGGAGACUGUGCAGCUCAGGGCGUCACCCUCCAGACUGAAUUGCUCUGGCCUCCACACAUCCAGGACACAUCUCCCAUGGGGACUGUGGUGGUGACUUGUAUGUGUCAACUUGCCCAGGCCAUCGAGUGCCCAGACAUUUGGUCUAUGAUUAGGUUGGGUGUUUUAGAUAUGAUUGACCUUGACACUGGUGGACUGCAGGCAGCAGAUUCCCUCCCUUAUGUGAAUGGAGGCCUGAAUGGAACAAAAUGGUGGAUUCUGUCCAGAGCAAGAGAAUUCUUCCUGCCUGAUGGCCUUCAAACAGAAAGGUCAGCUUCUUCCUGCCUUCAGACUUGAACGGAAACAUCAGCUCUUCCUGACUCUCAAGCCUGCUGACCUUCAGAUUGGAGCUUACAUUACUGGCUUCUCUGGGUCUUCACACUGCCCUGACCCUGCAGAGCUCAGAACUUCUCCGCCACCAUAAUCAUCUUUCACCUCCCCGGAGGGCAUCCUCUGACACCCCAGGCCACUUUGGGACCCUUUCUCAUAUGCUUCCAUUGCACUGGGCAGUUCUCCUGUCUAGUAUCUUCCAUUGUUUAAUGACCUUAAGUACUUGUCCAAUAUGGAUCUCCCCACUGGACUCUAAAGUUCCAUAAGAACACCAAUAUUCUGUGUGGCACAGAGUAGCUAGGCAAGGUCUGUUGAGUGAGUGAAAGAGUGAAUAAGUGAAUGAACUGCACUCCAUUGCUUCCCACCCUUUCUAGUUCUCAGCUCAGUAUUUCAUUUAUGACUCCAAAUCCUACUAAAGUGAGGUAUCUGGACACAAAGAAAGAGUUGAAAAAUUCACCAGGAGCUGCUCCCAGGAGGCUGCAAGGAGAGUGAAGUGCAGCAUGUGCCACUGGAGGGACCUGUUGGUUGGAGUGUCUUGGGUUGGGCUCAUGCACUAUCAGUGGCUUAAUAACGUGCUACAACUCAGCUCUGUGAGCAUCACGCCUCACUGUGAAGUGUUGCCUCGACUAACAACACUUUGUGAAAAUUGAACAUUUGGUUGUGUGGGGUGUAGGAAGAUGAGAAAACUAAUUAUAGUUUCUCUGGGGGGGCCUGCAGCAGUUGGAGUCAUGGUUACAAUUCUAGUCUAUGUGGGAUUUGCUUCAUUCUCUCUUUUUAUUUCUACACUUGGUGUGACAAUAGAUUUACAUAAUGGACAUUUGUCAAGGGUUUCAAGUCACAGCUUUUAUAGGCUUCCAUCUUUUUUUGAAAGAAGACAGAUUUUCAGAGUGGUUUGAAUUUCAUGACAAUGUGGGCCGGCCACAUGGACAAUUGGUCUGUUGUGAGGAACUGGAGCUCAUUUAUGUACCAUUGUUUGGAAGUUCUGAAAUAGCACCAGGACCAAUGAUGCUGAAAUUCCUUAACAAUCUAAAUUAUCCUGCUGUUCAUUUGCUUAGAUCAAUUUGCCUUUAAAAUUCAGCAUAGUACAAAAGCUACACAAGGAGAAAUGGGUUAAAAGGCUUGAAUUUUCAAGCCAAGGUUCUGCUAUAUAAAAAUAAUGAUGAAACUCUCAGCCUGAACAAGAUGGCAAAGGCUCAUUUCUCUCUGCCACACUCUGCCAAGUCCAGAAUCAGCCCUGGAAAUAAAGCAAGAGUGCCAGAGGAGAACUCUGAAAGGUGGAAGGAGGGAAGUGGCCUGAUUUGGGACCAAGAACUGAAAAGCAAUGCAAUACGGGGGUCUUAUACCCCCCAUCCAACAGACGAAGGUGAUAGAAGGUGGCCCAGGUGGGCAUGUCUAUCCCCUAGAUUGAAAGAGAGACCUUAUCAUCAAAGGAGGUGAGAGGCACAAGAGAGACUGGUCAGGGACCCCACUAGCCAUAAGCAGCCAGCAGGGAAGUGUUCUCCUUCCUUCUGGAUCCCAGAUGCCCCUCCCGACCAAGAAGUACUGAGCAGCUGGGCAACACUCAGAUGGAAUCCUGCCACAGGUGGGCUGGCCUAGAAGCCCCUUUGUUGCUGCAGGAGUGAGAUUCUACGGCCCUUCAGAGACACUGGAAAUAGAUCUAGCAAUAUAUGCUGUAGCUAUAGAGUAAUCCUGGGUAAAUGUUAGGUAUAUAUUGCUACAGUAAUCAAUACAGUGUAGUAUUGGGGAACGACAGACACACAAAUCCAUAGUACAAAACAGAGAAUCCAGCAAUAGACUGACAGAAAUGAGCCCAACUGAUUUUUAACAAAGAUUCAAAAACGAUUUAAUGGAGGAAAGCAGUCUUUGCAACAAAUGGUGCUGGCACAAUUGGACAUCCAUGGGCAAAACAAAUAAGCAAAACAAAACAAAAAAAGAAACAAAAAAGAACUUCAACCUAAGCUUUGCAUCUUACACAAAAGUUAACUCCAAAUAGAUCAUGGUGUUAGUAUAAAAUGUCAAACAAUACACCUUUUGGGGGAGAAAACAGAAAAUAUUUAAGAUCUGGGGCUAUUUCUCAGAUUUGACACCAAAAGCAUGAUCCAUCGAAGGGCAUUUUGAUGGAUAAAUUGGAUUUUAUCAAAAUUAAAAAUUUUUGCUCUGCAAAAGGCCACGAGAAGAGGAUAAAAAGGCCAGCUAUAGACUAGGAGAAAAUAUUGCAAACCACAUAUCUGACAAAGAACUGGUAUCUAGAAUAUAUACAUUCUCAAAACUCAACAGUAAAGAAAGAGAUGAUUCAACUACAAAAUGCACAGAAGCUGUGAACAUUUUUCUGAAGAGCAUAUAGAGAUGGCUAUAAGCACAGGAGACAGUGUUCAACAUUAUUAGCCAUCAGGUAAAUGCACACGAAAAUCACAAUGAUCUAUUACUACACAAGUGUCACAAUGGCUAAAAUAAAAAAUAGUGAUGACACCAAAUGUUGGCUAGGAUGUGGAGAAACUGGAUCCCUCAUUCAUUGCUGGUGAGAAUGUAAAACGGCACAGCCACUCCUGGAAAACAGUUUGUCAAUCUCUUAAAAAACUAAGCAUGCCAACUACCAUGCAACCCAGUAGUCAUACCUGUGGGCAUUUAUCUCGGAUAAAUGAAAAUUAUGUUUAAACAACAAUGUGUACCUGAAUAUUCAAAGACAUUUCACUGGUGAAAUGAAAACAGCCGAGGUGUCCUUCAACAGGUGAAUGGUUAAAUAAAAUGGGGUAUAUUCAUACCAUGGGAUAUUGCUCAGGAACAAAAGGAAACAAACUGGGGAUCUGUGCAACUUGUUGAAGUUCCAAGAAUUAUGUAGAGUGAAAAAGCCAAUCCCAAAAGGUUACAUACUGUAUGAUUCCAUGUAUACAAUAUUCUUGCAAUGACAACAUUUUAGAAAUGGAGAGUGGAUUAUUGGAUAACAGACUUAGGGGUAGAGUGGUGGAGCUGGGAGGGAGGGGUGGGUGGUUGUAGAAGGACAACACAGGGAUGCUUGUGGUGAUGCAGUGUUCUGUGUCUUCACUAUGAUGGUAAAUACAUGAACCUAUACAUGUGACAAAACUGUAUGGAACUAAAUAUACACACACUAAUGAGUACAGGUAAUAUUGGGGAAUUCUGAAUAAGAUUAGUCAGCUGUGUCAAUAUCAGUAUUAAUAUUCUGAUUGUGAAAUUGUACUGUCAUUUUUGCAAGUAAUACCAUUAGGAGAAAUUGAGUGAAAGGUGUGUGGGAUCUCUCUGUAUUAUUUCUUGCAACUGCAUCUGAACCUACAAAUUGUCUCAAUAAAAAUUUCAAUUAAGAAAAUAAGUGACAAGGGCUGAGUGGCAUAUCCAGAUCCAUGAACAUAGUUGGAGGAUCUCAAACACGCUUACAAUGAAAGCGGGAUUUCUAAAAUAAAAAACUAAAUUGUAGUUAACAUUUGUUUAGCACAAAAGACACCCCAGGCACUAAGUGUUGUACAUACAUAACUUUAUUUCAUCUUCAUUACAUUUUUUUUUCAGGAUUUUCCCCCAUUAGAGAAACUGUGCCUGAAUUUCCAUGUUAGCGAAAGGGUGGUAAUGUCUCUUAUAGAGUUGAUAUGAGGUGUUAAAUAGAUCUCAACAUGUGAGAUGCAGAAACCAGGCCCUGACACAUAGAUGGUAUGCAUACCAAACUCAAUAUCAGUACAGGAAUUUUUGUAUUGAUCAUAAUACAAAAUACUUUUUUUUCCAGAUCAUAAUAUCUCUUUCUUUGCCUGAUUCUUUGAGAUGUACACAAACAUGCUCUAGAUCAAGUUAUUCCAGAAUAGGCAGAGUGUGGUGACAGAUGAAACUUGAGUGUGUGAGAGAGGCAAACUUAUUUGUCUUCAAAUAACGACAAAUUAAGUGUCUGAAAGAAACAAUGGUAUGUGUUAAGAAUCUUGGCAAAUUUUAUUCAGUAGUGAUGGAAUAGUCAUAUCAUGAUUUUAAAAAUACACUUUUAACUUUAGAAUAGUUUUAGAUUUACAGAGAUACUGUAAAAAUAGUGCAGAGAGGCCCCGGAUGCCCUGCACCCAGUUUCGCCUGUUGUUAAUAUUUUACAUUACUGUGGAUUAGUGAUGAAUUAGUACCAAUGAAUGGACUGAUAUUGAUAUACUGUUAUUAAUGAAAAUUCAUACUUUAUUGGACUUCCUUAGUUUCUUUUUUUUUUUCUUUUUUUGAGACAGAGUAUCACUCUGUCACCUGGGCUGGAGUGCAAUGGCUCCAUCUCGUCUCACUGCAACCUCUGCCUCCCAGAUUCAAGCGAUUCUCCUGCCUCAGCCUCCUGAGUAGCUGGGAUUAACAGGCGCCCGCCAUGAUGCCCAGCUAAUUUUUUUGUAUUUUUAGUGAGACGGGGAUUCACCAUAUUGACCAGGCUGGUCUCGAACUGCUGACCUCAAGUGAUCCACCCACCUUGGCCUCCCAAAGUGCUGGGAUUACAGGCAUGAGCCACUGUGCCCAGCCCUUAGUUUCUUCUUAAUGUUCUUUUAUUGUCCAGGGAUCCCAUCUAGGACAUCACAUUCCAUCAGCAUCCUGUCUCCUCAGGACCCUCUUGGCUAUGACAAUUUCCUCAGAUUUUCAUGUCUUUGAUGACCUUGACUACGUUGAGAAGUAUUGUCAGGUGUAUUGUAGCAUAUCCCUCAACUGGGGUUUGUUUGUUGUUUUUCUAAUGGUUAGACUCAGGUUAUGAGGUUUUGGGAAGAAGGCUACAGAGGAGAAAGAAGUACCAUUAUCUUCAUAUGAUAUCAGGGGUGCCUGCUGUCACCAUGGCUUAUUGUUGAUGUUGACCUUGAUCACCUGGCUAGGCAGUGUUUGCCAGUCUUCCUACUGUAAAGUUAUUUUCUGUUUCCCCUUUCCAGACUGUAUGUACCCUUUGGAAGGAAAUCACUAUACACAAUGAGCACUUAAGGGUCAGAGACUUACGUUCCACCUUCUUGAGGGAACAGUAUCUAUAAUAAACUAUUUGGGAUUUUUUGGUACAGGAGAUUUGUCUUUUCUACCUUGCAUUGGUCAGAAUUCUCCAGAGAAACAGAAACAAUAGGAGAGAGAGAGAGAGAGAGAGAGAGAGGAGAGAGAGAGAGAGAGAGAGAGAGAGAUAUUAUGAGAGAUUGGCCCACAUGAGUAUGGAGGCCAAGAAGUCCCAUGAUCUACUCUCUGCAAGCUGGAGACCCAGGGGGGAUAAUGGUGUAAUUCAUUCCAAGUCUGAAAACCUAAGAACCAGGAGCUCCAAUGUCUGAGGACAGGAGAAGAUGAAUGUCUCAACUCAAAAAGAACGAGACAAUUCACCCUUGCUUCACCUUUUUGUUCUAUUUGGGCCCUCAAUGGUUUGGAUGAUGCUCACCUGCAUUGGUGAAGGUGGAUCUUCUUUGUUCAGUCUACUGAUUCAAAUGCUAAUCUCUUUGAGAAACACCCUCAUAGACACACCCAGAAAUAAUGUUUCUCUGGCUAUCUGGGCAUCCCUUAUCCCAGUCAAGUUGGCACAUAUUCAGGCUCCCUGUUCUGUUUAAAAAGGUUGACAUAUAAAAUUAACCACUGUAGGCCAGGCACGGUGGCUCAUGCUUGUAAUCCCAGCAAUUUGGGAGGUCAAGGCAGGCGGAUCAUUUGAGAUGGGGAGUUGCACACUAGCCUGGUCAACAUGGUGAAAUGCUGUCUGUACUAGGAAUACAAAAAUUAGCCAGACGUGGCAGUGUGUGCCUAUAGUCCCAGCUACUCGGGAGGCUGAGGCACGAGAAUCACUUGAACCCAGGAGGUGGAGGUUGCAGUGAGCUGAUCACACUACUGCACUCCAGCGUGGGUGACAGAGUGAGGCUUUGUUUCAAACAAAAAAGAAAAAAAUUAACCAUUGCAUCCCUCUUUAUUUAUCCAGUCAUUUAUCUAAAUCAUUGCAGCUUUAUGGAUAUUUAUUUUAUAUUUUGAAUUAUAGUCCAAUACUACUUUCUGAAUUUUCUUGUUCAAAUGGUCCCAGAUUUGAACUUUGCAAACUUUCAGUUUCUUCCUGUGUCCCUUUGACAUGCUCGCAUUACUUGCUUUUCAUUCGUUUUUAGCAUUUUCUUACUUUCUUGCACUACAAAAUGCUCCAGGUUCAUCUCGUAUAUUAUUUUCCCAGACCUGGAAUCAGCCAAUUCUUUAAGGAAUCCUGGUUCGUUUUAUUGAAGAAUAGUAUUUGAAUCCAAGAUAUGGGCAUUGGGUGUGCUUGAUGGUAUUGGGGUGUCGUUCCUUCUAGGCUGUGCAUGCACACAGCUCUAUAAAUUUGUUCAUAUAUGUAUAUGUUCAUCCAUCUGCAGACACAUUUGUAUUUUAGGCUAAAGGUGAGUUCACAUUGAUAUCUCCAACUCUCAUCCAGUACCACCUGCUUGAGUCUAGCUGUUCCUCCUUGUUUAUCUGUAAUGUUUAGCUGGGCAUGGUGGCUCACGCCUGUAGUUCCAGCACUUUGGGAGGCCGAGACAGGAGGAUCACUUGAGGUCAGGAGUUCAAGACCAGCCUGGCCAACAUGGUGAAACCAUGUCUUUACUAAAAAUACAAAAAAAAAAAAAAUUAGCCUGGUGUCGGGGUGGGUGCCUGUAAUUCCAACUACUAGGGAGGCUGAGGCAGGGGAAUCGCUUGAACCCAGGAGGCAGAGGUUGCAGUGAGCUGAGAUCCUGCCACUGCACUCCAGCCUGGGUGACAGAGCAAGACUCUGUCUCAAAAAAAAAAAAAAAAAAAGGAAUGUGUAAAUAAUUUACUAGCAGAUAUUGUGUUAUUGAAAAACUAGGAAUUAAAUUUUCUUUAUUUUUUAUUUUUUGAGACAGGGUCUGGCUCUGUCACAUAGGCUGGAGUGUAGUGGCACUGUCUUAGCUCAUGACAACCUCCACCUCCCGGGUUCAAGCCAUCCUCCCACCUCAGCCUCCUGAGUAGCUGGGACUACAGGCACGUGCCACCAUUCCCAGCUAAUUUUUGUAUAUUUUGCAGAGAUGGGGUUUUGCCAUGUUCCCCAGGCUGGUCUCAAAUCCCUGAGCUCAUGCAAUCCAAUCGCCUUGGCCACUCAAAGUGGUAAGUUUACAGGCGUGAGCCACUGAGCCCAGCAUGAAUUUUCUCUCUGAUAAAAUAACCUGCUUAGAACAUUUAGUCUAAUUUUAACCUGCGGAAGUAAAAGUUUCUUGACUUCCUAUUUCUUAUGUUCCCAGGUACACGUUUGUGCUUUUGGUGACUUUGUUUUGUCUUUCAUUUAAAAUAGAACAUGGGAGGGAAUUCUUCACUUCUGAGAGAUGUGGGCUCCUUCAGUCUUAUUAUCGUCUUUCAUGUUUAUUGAAAAAAAAGUAUAUAUUUUUUCCUAAUAGGUAAACAAACUAUGGUUCUUAGGCACUCUUGGUUCAAUCUUAACUGAGUGACCAAAUCUCCUCUGAUAAUAAUCUUGAUUUUGCCUUCCCAAGACCAAACCCUAAAUUUAGAAAAAUAAUGGAUUUUGAAUUUUGUUAGCACUUUGAACCAUCCUUGUGAUUUCCCAGAUAGGCACCAGAAAAUCACAAAGAUUUGUGUGUGUUCUUAACUGCAAAGGAAACACUGAUUAAAUCCAUGUGAAAUAAUUAUGUAUGAUAUUCUAAUAUAGAGCUUGAUUCCCCCCUCCCCCAAUUUUGAUGUUGUUGGGUACUGUAAUAAAAUAACUACAGCUCUGUCAUCAACAGCUAGUGUCUGCGUUCUUCUGAUUGCCUGAGAGCUCUGCUCUAGGUUAUAGGCUGAGAAACUAGGUCUUCGACAACCAAGGUUAGUUUCAGAACCACAUGGAAAAGACUGUUGUAGGCACUGCUUACUACUCACAUUCCAGGAAAUGGGUACAGACUUUGGAGAUUAAGCUGACUUUGCUUAGACAACCUUCAAACUGCACCAGUGAGUCCAAGUCAAGAUUUCCCAGACUCUUUUCAGGCCAGAAGCAGAUGAGCUCAUGAAAGCAGAUGCCAACCCAAGAUGCCAUAGAAUAAGAAUGAAUUGUAUGGGGCUGGAUGAACUGAAGAGGGAAAGUAGCUAACUGCUCACUUGGAAUCUUGUUGAAAACUGUAUUUAAUAAUCUGUUUUCUGAUGGAUAUGAGAGUAAACCUUUCCUUUUUUUUUGAUAAUUAAUAAUAAUUAAUUUAAUAAUCUGUUUUCUGAUGGAUAUGAGAGUAAACCUUUCCUUUUUUUUUUGAGAUGCCAUCUCACUCUGUCACCUACGCAGGAGUGCAAUCUCAGCUCACUGCAGCCUCCGCCUCCCAUGUUCAAGUGAUCCUCCUGCCUCAGCUCCCUGAGUUGCUGGGAUUACAGGCAUCUGCCACCAUGCCUG
rnacentral:lncRNA from 1 species